CCUAUCCGGUGGAGUUGGAAGGGGCACGAGGUACUACCACUAGCCUCCCUCUUGUGCCGUCCCUAAUAUGCCCUACACCGAAUAGUUGGGUCAAAUAGUGCCGGGUACUACCACUAGCCUCUCCAUUGGCACCAUCCCUAUGAUGAACAAUAUAGAAAGGUUAAAAUGUUCACUUCAAACUCUCCCUGUUUAAGUGUAAUUAAUUAUGAAUUUUAUCCCUUCCAAAUGUGCCGAAUAUAUUAUGCUUGUUUUGCUUUUCCUUAAGAUUGGAGUACUUGCCUUUGCUUAGAUUUUUCAUCUCUUGAAUAAUAUCCAUUUUCUUUUCUUUAUCUCUCUCUCUUUUUGUUAUUCUCAAGUAAUUUACAUGAAAGAGCAGAAUAAAGAAAUAAUCUUAUGUAUCAUAUAGAUGUACAUCAUGCAAACAAUAUUUUC
rnacentral:lncRNA from 1 species